GACCUUGCGUCUACAGCCUGAGCGGUAAGCGAAAGGCUGAUGGCUGGUGGCUUAGGCCACCGGCCU
rfam:Pseudomonas sp. FeS53a scaffold13.1, whole genome shotgun sequence.